CUUACAUGACACUGGGGCUCGUCUGCACCACCUUCAGAGACAUCAUGUCCACUGUAGGUUUCAGGAGAAGGGUGCAUUUUCAGUGGCUUGACAGUGUUGCUAAUUGGGGCAGGUUUUCGUUGUCAUACAAGGAGGAGUUCUACACCAUGUACAGCAUUGAGACAUGCUGCGAAUGCAGAACUCUGUACAAAAAAAACACACCUGGAUAUGUUGGGAAAGGAAAAAGGGGAGUGCUGCAAGCUAUUUACUCUGAAGACCCUAACCCUGGAUACUGCAGUCACUUUUGCAGCCAAAUGCAAUAGGAUGUCAUCCAUGGAUCUGCCUGUCCAGAGGAGAAAACACCACGACACUGUGGGAUUUUUUACCAGCUCUUUUGUUUAAAUGUUUGUGUUUACAUGAGAAUAAAGUUUGAACUGAAAAAAA